UGCCAGACACAGGAAGCUGAUGGAUCA
rnacentral:piRNA from 1 species